UACAGAGGUGGCAAGCGUUGUUCGGAAUUACUGGGCGUAAAGGGCGCGUAGGCGGUCUUGUAAGUCUUGUGUGAAAUCCCUCGGCUCAACUGAGGAACUGCACGGGAUACUGCGAGACUUGAGUUCGGGAGAGGGAAGCGGAAUUCCGGGUGUAGCGGUGAAAUGCGUAGAUAUCCGGAGGAACACCGGUGGCGAAGGCGGCUUCCUGGACCGACUACUGACGCUGAGGCGCGAAAGCUAGGGGAGCAAACGGG
rnacentral:rRNA from 1 species